rfam:Pteropus alecto contig29997, whole genome shotgun sequence.
GUGCUCGCUUUGGCAGCACAUAUACUAAAAUUAGAACUAUAGAGAAGAAGAGCCUGGCCCCUGUGCAAGGAUGACAUGAAAAUUUGUGGACCAAAAAAAAAAAAA